GACGAACCGUGCGAACGUUAUUCGGAAUCACUGGGCUUAAAGCGCGUGUAGGCGGAUGGGAACGUCGGUCGUUGAAAUCCCCCGGCUUAACCGGGGAAGUGGCGCCGAUACGCCCCGUCUUGAGGAACGUAGGGGGAGCGGGAACUUCCGGUGGAGCGGUGAAAUGCGUUGAGAUCGGAAGGAACGCCCGUGGCGAAAGCGCGCUCCUGGACGUUUUCUGACGCUGAGACGCGAAAGCCAGGGGAGCGAACGGG
rnacentral:rRNA from 1 species